rnacentral:rRNA from 1 species
AUGAGCGUGGAGAUCCUGGACGGGAGGACGGUGCAGAGCUUCGUGGAGGACGAGGGGGCCUUCAACGCCUCCGUCGACGGCCGCUUCGCGGCGCUCGACGCCGACCACGACGGCCUCCUCUCCUACCCUGAGAUGGCCGGGGAGAUCAUGAGCCUCCGGGUCCUCGAGAAGCACUUCGGGGUCGACGAGGCCGGUGCCGUUGGUCCCGACGAGCUCGCAAAGCUCUACCGCUGUCUGUUCGCGCGCUUUGACCGCGACGGCGACGGUGCAGUGGACCGGGAAGAGUUCUGGGCGAGAUGA